CAAAAACAUAGCCUUUAGCCCAACAAGUAUUAAAGGUAAUGCCUGCCCAGUGAUUUUUCAACGGCCGCGGGAUCCUACACCGUGCAAAGGUAGCAUAAUCACUUGUCAUCUAAAUAAUGACUAGUAUGAAUGGCCCUAUGAGGACUUCCCUGUCUCUUGUAACCAAUCAAUGAAACUGAUCCCCCAGUACAAAAGCUGGGAUAAAAUCACAAGACGAAAAGACCCUGUGGAACUUAUAAGUACCAAUCAACAUAAAUGAAAAAGUCACUUUUAGUUGGGGCAACUUUGGAACAAAACAAAACUUCCAAUCAUGAUAUUAUUUCAGCCCAAAACUAGGUCCACACACCAAUUUUUGACCAACAACUGACCCAGUAUUACUGAUUAAAGAAACAAGCUACCCCAGGGAUAACAGCGCCAUCCCCUCUUAGAGCCCAAAUCGACGAGCGGGGCUUACGACCUCGAUGUUGGAUCAGGGCCCCCAAACAGUGCAGCAGCUGUUAAAGGUUUGUUUGUUCAACAAUUAAUGCCCUACGUGAUCUGAGUU
rnacentral:rRNA from 1 species